UACGUAGGGGGCUAGCGUUGUCCGGAAUUAUUGGGCGUAAAGAGCUCGUAGGCGGUGUGUCGCGUCGGCCGUGAAAACCUGGGGCUUAACUCUGGGCGUGCGGUCGAUACGGGCAUCACUGGAGUUCGGCAGGGGAGACUGGAAUUCCUGGUGUAGCGGUGAAAUGCGCAGAUAUCAGGAGGAACACCGGUGGCGAAGGCGGGUCUCUGGGCCGAUACUGACGCUGAGGAGCGAAAGCAUGGGUAGCGAACAGG
rnacentral:rRNA from 1 species